rnacentral:rRNA from 1 species
GAUGAACGCUAGCGGGAGGCUUAACACAUGCAAGUCGUGGGGCAGCACAGGUAGCAAUACUGGGUGGCGACCGGCGCACGGGUGAGUAACGCGUAUGCAACCUGCCCUGUACAGGGGGAUAGCCCGGCGAAAUUCGGAUUAAUACCCCAUAAUGAUAUUAAGAGGCAUCUUUUGAUAUUUAAAGUUUCGGCGGUACAGGAUGGGCAUGCGUGACAUUAGCUAGUUGGUAGGGUAAUGGCCUACCAAGGCUUCGAUGUCUAGGGGUCCUGAGAGGGUGAUCCACCACACUGGUACUGAGACACGGACCAGACUCCUACGCGAGGCAGCAGUGAGGAAUAUUGGUCAAUGGGUGCAAGCCUGAACCAGCCAUCCCGCGUGAAGGAAGAAUGCGCUAUGCGUUGUAAACUUCUUUUCCAGGGGAAUAAAAUCCUGUACGUGUACGGGACUGACGGUACCUUGGGAAUAAGCAUCGGCUAACUCCGUGCCAGCAGCCGCAGUAACAC